GUGGUUAUUACUGUUCUUCUCGUGACAGGACUCCUCAUAGUAGCAUGGAAAAAAGGGUGGCUCCAAAGAUUAAUACAGUUAAUACAAGGACUAAGAGGUGAUGGUAACCAGGGGAGAGGAGAAGGA